CUGUAAAUAGACCUUUAGCAACGCGAUGGCAAGGCAUGGGGAGGCGAAGCGUUCUAUCCUCCUGUGAUUAGGUCGCAGUCUUUCCAGCAGCCUUUGGCUUUAGACGGUGAACUUCACACACACUUCUCAGUGCCCCCCACCCCAUACUUUGGGAGGGACGGGGUGGCUCCAGCGGGCUGAAGUUGGAUUUUUCCCUUUCCCGGGUUGGUUCAGCUCUGAAAAACCUGAAUAGUUUAGGCUCUGGUAACAUAGUUUCUCUUGAGGGCAGGUCUUGUUAAGAAGAACAGAAUGCUCUGGCACAUUUCAAAGUGGUUACUUAUUCCACCCCCGCUUCCCCCCCAUCUGCACCCACACUGGAAACACAGGGGGAUAUUUCUCUGAUAUUCAAUGUGAGAACCUGGAGGUAGAGCUCACAGAAGUAUGGAGGACCCCUACGACUGGGUCCCCGGGAGGUGUCAUCUCAGACUUGUCCACACUGAGCCUCUGGCAAUUCAUCAGUUACGGUUUAGGUUUUCUAAGGCAGUGCUGGUUCCAUGGAGGUUUCUGCUCCACAGCCACAGUUCUGGGUUCUCAUCAUUCAGGAUUCCCCGGGAGAAGAGUGAUGUGGAAGCAAGAGGGCAGAGGACUCAUCAGUUACAGGUUGCCGUGGAUGCUUAUGGCUGGCAGAGAUGACAGAAAGAAAGCGUGGGAGGAGAACCUUUGGAGACUCCGACAGCAGCCUCACCACUGGCUACACUUGGCCCUCCUCCGUAUCCCAGAAUGUGGAACCCACAGAUACCAGGAGGGCUGACUAAGGGAUUUGAGCAUCCACAAAUCUUGUCAUCUGCCGGGUGUCCUGGACCCAAUCCUCCGCUGACACCAAAGGACGACUGUGUAUGCUGAAAACUACAAAUCAUUGUCUCCAGCCCUUAAUCCCCGACUAGCUCCUAUUGGAAACCUCCACCUGGCUGUCCCAGCAACUGUUAUCCAAAAUGUAACUCAUGAUCCUCACGUCCAUGUGAAAAUAGAUGUUCUCCCAAAUUGGCUUUUCUUCCUGGAUUUCUGAACUUGGUUAAUGACCUUAUAACCUACCCAGGGAUCCCACUCAGAGAUGUGGCAUUCAUGUUAGUUUCUUCCUCUCCUCCAAACUCCCACACGUCACCAAGCUCUGGCCAUUCUCCCUACAGGUAGAUCUCAAGUCCAUCCAUGCAUCUCCAUUCCCUCUGGCAAAGCCUAGAGCGUUUACUCAAAAUCUCAUUCCUGGACUAUUCUAAUAGUUUGUAAAUUUGUUUACCUGCCUCUUUCCAGUGCCUCUUCCACAGAGGCUCUAGAGUGAUUUUUUAAAAAUGCAAAUAUAAUCAAGUCUGCUUACUGUCUUUACUAAUCCCCCAGUACCUCUGAAGAAUGAAUUCUAAACUCUCACUUUUCAGGCUCAUCUUCCACCAUUUCCUCCAUCCGUUUCUGGAAACCUGCUGUGACCUCUGAGCCCACACUUUGUGCAGACCUUUGUUCACACUGCUGUGUCUGCCUGCACUGUCUUCCUCUCCUUCCCUCACUCACACCCACUCCACCUAAACCCACUCCUGCUAGGCCGAAGGCAUUCCAGCCAUGCGAUCUCUUCGGGGAAGAGUUUUCCAGUUCCUGGUGUAAAGUGCUUCUCUCCUGUUUCUGCACAACCUCACGCAAGUUGUCAUUGUUGAUUUGCUUCCUGGCCUCCCAUCUGUAUUCCAAGGGGGCUCUGAAGGAGCUUCCUUUUCCACAUCUGUAAAAUGCGGGAAAAAAAUACAAAUAGAGAACAGAGAAGUCAUCUCGUUCAGCUUUUGACUAGUCAUCUUGAGAAGGAAGCACACCAUGGUGGUUAAGAGCACCAACUCUGGAACAGGACACCUAGCUUCAAAUAUUGGCUCUGCCACUUAUUGAUUUUCUGACCUUUAUCAGUGUUCCCAUCAGCAAAAUGGGCACAACAGUAUCCACUUCACUGGGUAGUUGUGAGGAUUAAAUGACAUAAUGUAGAAUGCUGGCAUGUAGAAAGAGUCUAUAAAUGUUUGCUCUACUGUGAUAUAGAAACUUUGGCAUGUAGACAGACUAUAUAAAUAUUUGCUAUAUUCUGAAAGUAUUUUUUCUAAGCAUUACUUGCAACAUUAAAAAAAUGUCCUCCCCUUUCUAAAGGGUAGUAUUGGCCACUUAGUAACUCCUUUGCUCAGCUACAAGGAACCACAGUGAAUGCAAUACAUUUUUCAAGGAGAAUUCUCCUGGAAAAUAGCCAAAUGGAGUAUUCUCUUUUAGAAAUAGAAUUACUUCAUUCGGGACUUUAGCAAAGAACUAUUUUUUUAAAAAAAGAAUAAAUAAAAAGCAAUAUGGGAGAACGCUUAGGUAGUUUCCAGUGGUUGAGAAUAAUUCUUUGAAAGUGAAUAGGGAAAACCUUAAAUAACUGACUAUUUAAAAGGAAUAGAUUUUCUAAGCUCAGAACUCUGACUGUACUUCUAUGAAAUAGAUGUUUAUGAUUCCUUCUCAGCAGUCUGCUUCUUCCCUGGGAA